UUUUCACUUUGGAACUCUCUGUUUUCUCAGGGCUGAUAAUGCUUUUUUCCUUAAGCUUAACUUCUCAAGGAAUGCAGGAAGGGAAAUUUAAAAAGUGGACUGUUUGGUCGUGGCUAACAGUAGCCGUUAAUGCUUUCGGGGGAGUCGCAGUGGGAAAGGUCACCCAGCACGCCGGCAGCGUUAAAAAGGGCUACUGCGUUGCUGGAGGGAUUCUGUUGACUGCUUUUUUGGAAUUGGUGCUCGGUCAUAGAACUUUUACGCUAAGGCUAGUUCU